AAAUAUUACUUUGCACGUGUAAAACAAAAAAAAAUAUAUAUAGGAAAAGAGAAGGCUAUGUAAAGUCAGUGUUGGAGUUCAUCAUGAAGUGUUUUAUCAUUGUAGCUCUUGUCUUGGUUGGAGUAACGACUUCUGAGGUUUCCAUGCCAUCCUUUUUGUUUGAAGGAUCAUGGCUUGAAAUGAAGGAAGAACGAAGGGUGCUGUAGAGUACUUAACGGAGUUCGGCGUUAGUGUGGCCGACGCCACUACAUAUAGCAAUGGUCCAAUUACUUUGGAAUGUAUUCAAUUGACUGAAGAGGGUUACAAAAUCACAGGAAUACAGCCCAAUGGUGCUCCCUAUAAUACAUCUAUAACAUGGAGAAAGGGAGCGAAAUUGCCAUACAAGAGUUUAACAGGACAGAGUUUAGAAUUUGAUGCGGAGGUAUUGAAAGACAAUGCUACAAAUCAUAAUGUAAUGCGUUUCAAUGCUUACCAAAAAAAUGGCCCUCUGGUUUUCUUCACUCAACGAAUCUUUACGAGUCAAGGGUACAUGAAUUAUAGUCAUACAAUUGCUGCAACGAAGAAGACCGCUUACACUCUCUACAAAAAACAGGAAUAAAUCUAAAUGAUUUCCUUAAUAUUAAAUAAUGAAUAUGUAGACGAUUCAUUUUAUUUGAAUAAAUACGUGCAGGCAUCAUAAA
rnacentral:lncRNA from 1 species